rnacentral:rRNA from 1 species
AUUGAACGCUGGCGGCAUGCCUUACACAUGCAAGUCGAACGGUAACAGGUCUUCGGAUGCUGACGAGUGGCGAACGGGUGAGUAAUACAUCGGAACGUGCCUAGUAGUGGGGGAUAACUACUCGAAAGAGUGGCUAAUACCGCAUGAGAUCUACGGAUGAAAGCAGGGGAUCGCAAGACCUUGUGCUACUAGAGCGGCCGAUGGCAGAUUAGGUAGUUGGUGGGAUAAAAACUUACAAAGCCGACGAUCUGUAGCUGGUCUGAGAGGACGAUCAGCCACACUGGGACUGAGACACGGCCCAGACUCCUACGGGAGGCAGCAGUGGGGAAUUUUGGACAAUGGGCGCAAGCCUGAUCCAGCAAUGCCGCGUGCAGGAUGAAGGCCUUCGGGUUGUAAACUGCUUUUGUACGGAACGAAAAGCCCCGGGUUAAUACCCUGGGGUCAUGACGGUACCGUAAGAAUAAGCACCGGCUAACUACGUGCCAGCAGCCGCCGUAA